UAGGUACUGCCACCGGGUAGUAAAGAUACUGAAAAAGCAUCUGUAAAUGUAUCGUUAGGUCUUAGAAGAUACAUUGACAGGUGCUUUGUUUUU
rnacentral:ncRNA from 1 species